CAGGAUGCAAAGACACAGCACCAAAGAUUAAACUACGCAGCUCAAGAAAUGUGAAACCCCUGUUUGAAUAGGUUUUUUUUGUUCUUUUGGACGGGCUGUGUAGGAUAUCUGGCAGACUUCAAAAGACCUUCUGGAGAAGGGCUAUUUGCUCAGAAAAGCAAAACUGGAGACUGG
rnacentral:lncRNA from 12 species